AGGGUUGAACUGAUCACACUGUCCCUACUUUGGCCUCAAAUUUUGAAGUAAGGGAAUAUCUUAUUAGGAGGGACCUUGGAAACUUUCCGUCUGCCUCACUUUGAAGCACUGAGAGAGAAUCAUUCAACAAAAUCAUAUGCUGCUUGUGGAAGGGAUGCCCCUGAAGAUGCUAAAGCCAUGCCGAGGUGCAGGACAAUAAAAUCACAAAUGGCUGAAAUGAAUACCCUUCAUGAUCACACAUCUAUGAGCCACAUAAUGUACCACUGCACAGUCUCCGACUUACUACCAGUAGAUGCCUUCAGCUGGUUUGCAAUCCCCGAGGGAACAUUAAAAACAUAUGGGGUAAAAAAGUGUAUUGUCAUAAUUAUUUAAUUGUUUUCUGAAUAAUUGUUAUAGCAAAAUAUAUCCUCUUCAUUGUGAGGAAAGAUGAGUUUAUAGUACAUCAUUCGAGUGGUCAAAAUGCCUCAUAAUUAAUUGGUAUUAACUGAAAAGAAUAUUGGCCUUUUCUGUACAUUUUCCUCGUAAUAUAUGUUACCUCUAGCAAUGAAAUUAGAGGGAGGACAGAAAGCUGUUUUAGAUCUAAUCGUAUUAAAUACUUUGGACAUGGUAUGAGGGACUGGAGAGAACAGAAAUGAUAAUUUAAUAUUGCUAAAGUAUGGUGUGCUGUCGUCAUCCAGAUUUUGUAACAUACAGCUUUGUAGAAAUUGGUUAAUAAUUCCAAGACAAUUUCCUUUGUUAAU